CAGUCGCCACGGUAAUACGUAGGGUGCAAGCGUUAAUCGGAAUUACUGGGCGUAAAGCGUGCGCAGGCGGUUAUAUAAGUCAGAUGUGAAAUCCCCGGGCUCAACCUGAGAACUGCAUUUGAGACUGUAUGGCUAGAGUGUGUCAGAGGGGGGUAGAACUCCACGUGUAGCAGUGAAAUGCGUAGAUAUGUGGAGGAAUACCGAUGGCGAAGGCAGCCCCCUGGGAUAACACUGACGCUCAUGCACGAAAGCGUGGGGAGCAAACAGGAUUAGAUACCCCAGUAGUCCCUGUCUCUUAUAC
rnacentral:rRNA from 1 species